GUAGGUGAACCUGCGGAAGGAUCAUUACAGUGGAAGGGUCGAGCCGCGCAUCCCCCCCCGCGGGGGGGGGGAGCCCGCGGCCCGUACCUCACCACCCUUGUCUACCGAACCAAUGUUGCCUUGGCAGGCCUGCCGCUCGCGGCUGCCGGGGGUCGCCGCGCAGGCGCCCCGGGCUCGCGCCUGCCAGAGGAGCCUUUGAACUCGAUCUGAAGAACUGUCAGUCUGAGCGUAACAGCAAGAAUCAAACAAAACUUUCAACAACGGAUCUCUUGGUUCUGCAUCGAUGAAGAACGCAGCGAAAUGCGAUAAGUAAUGUGAAUUGCAGAAUUCCGUGAAUCAUCGAAUCUUUGAACGCACAUUGCGCCCUCUGGUAUUCCGGGGGGCAUGCCUGUUCGAGCGUCAUUGCAAACCCCUCAAGCCCGGCUUGUGAGUUGGACCAUCGUCCCCGCCCGUGCGGACGGGUCCGAAAUGCAGUGGCGGCGCCGAGCUCCUGGCGUCUGAGUGUAUGGGAUCACUUCAUCGCUCUUAAGACCCGAUCGGCGCCCGUCGAAACCCAUAUUUCUUUCCGGUUUGACCUCGGAUCAGGUAGGAGUACCCGCUGAACUUAAGCAUAUCAAUAAGCGGAGGA
rnacentral:sRNA from 2 species